CCUUCGGGAACGUCUGACACAGGUGCUGCAUGGCUGUCGUCAGCUCGUGUCGUGAGAUGUUGGGUUAAGUCCCGUAACGAGCGCAACCCUUGUCCUUAGUUACCAGCACGUUAUGGUGGGCACUCUAAGGAGACUGCCGGUGACAAACCGGAGGAAGGUGGGGGAGUGACGUCAAGUCAUCAUGGCCCUUACGGCCUGGGCUACACACGUGCUACAAUGGUCGGUACAAAGGGUUGCCAAGCCGCGAGGUGGAGCUAAUCCCAUAAAACCGAUCGUAGUCCGGAUCGCAGUCUGCAACUCGACUGCGUGAAGUCGGAAUCGCUAGUAAUCGUGAAUCAGAAUGUCACGAUGAAUACGUUCCCGGGCCUU
rnacentral:rRNA from 1 species